AGGGCGUACGGUGGAUGCCUUGGCGAUAUCAGCCGAAGAAGGACGCGGUAAGCUGCGAUAAGCUACGGAGAGGUGCAAGCAACCUUUGACCCGUAGAUUUCCGAAUGGGGGAACCCGGCAGUGGUUAUGCACUGUCACCCAUACCUUUGAGUAUGAGGAGGGCACCUGGGGAACUGAAACAUCUAAUUACCCAGAGGAAAAGUAAUCAAACGAGAUUUUCUUAGUAGCGGCGAGCGAACGGGAAAGAGGCCAAACCGGAGCGGGCAACCGCACCGGGGUUGAGGACAGUCAUCAAGUGUAAAUGAGGUAGAAGAAUCGAGCUGGAAAGCUCAGCCGCAGAAGGUGAAAGCCCUGUAAUCGAAACCUUGCAUACACGGGACUGUAUCCAGAGUACCACGAGACACGUGAAACCUUGUGGGAAGCAGGGGGGACCACCCUCCAAGCCAAAAUACUGAUAUCGACCGAUAGCGCAUAGUACCGUGAGGGAAAGGUGAAAAGAACCCCUGGCGGGGAGUGAAAGAGAACCUGAAACCGUAUGUCUACAAACAGUCGAAGUCUGUAUAUAUAUCAGGACGACGGCGUGCCUAUUGAAGAAUGAACCGACGAGUUACUGUUGCUAGCGAGGUUAAGUGGAAAACAUGGAGCCGCAGCGAAAGCGAGUCUGAACAGGGCGUUCAGUUAGUAAUAGUAGACCCGAAACCGUAGUGAUCUAUCCAUGGCCAGGUUGAAGCACAGGUAAAAUUGUGUGGAGGACCGAACUCGUGAGCGUUGAAAAGCUUUGGGAUGAGUUGUGGAUAGGGGUGAAAUGCCAAUCGAACACGGAGAUAGCUGGUUCUCCCCGAAAUAGCUUUAGGGCUAGCCUCGAGGUUGAGAGUAUAGGCGGUAGAGCACUGAUCGGGCUAGGGGCCAUACCGGUUACCGAACCUAGUCAAACUACGAAUGGCUAUACUUAUACUCGGGAGUCAGACAGUGAAUGAUAAGGUCCAUUGUCAAGAGGGAAACAGCCCAGAACACCGACUAAGGUCCCAAAUGUUACACUAAGUGGCGAAGGAUGUGGAAUUUCCAAAACAACCAGGAUGUUGGCUUAGAAGCAGCCACCAUUUAAAGAGUGCGUAAUAGCUCACUGGUCGAGAGACUCUGCGCCGAAAAUGUCCGGGGCUAAAGUGUAAAACCGAAGUCGUGUCAUAUGCAGCAAUGUAUAUGGGUAGGGGAGCGUUCUCAUUGGGUUGAAGCAGUACCGUAAGGAGUUGUGGACUGAUGAGAAGUGAGAAUGUCGGUAUGAGUAGCGAAAAGAAUGGUGAGAAUCCAUUCCACCGAAAGCCUAAGGGUUCCUGAGCAACGAUCGUCGUCUCAGGGUAAGUCGGGACCUAAGCCGAGGCGGAAAAGCGUAGGCGAUGGACAACAGGUUGAAAUUCCUGUACCGGUGUGAAUCGUUUGAUCGAUGGAGUGACACAGUAAGGUAGGUCAGCACGCGAUUGGAAGUGCGUGUUUAAGCAUGUAGGUUGAGUUAUAGGCAAAUCCGUAACUCUAAAAGCUGAGAUGUGAUGACGAGUUACUAGCGAUAGUAACGAAGUGAUUGAUCCUACACUGUCGAGAAAAGCUUCUAGGUAGAGACACAUCGCCCGUACCAAAACCGACACAGGUAGGCGGGGAGAGAAUCCUAAGGUGCGCGGGAAAACCCUCGUUAAGGAACUCGGCAAAAUGCCUCCGUAACUUCGGGAAAAGGAGGACUCAUGUAGUGUGAAGUGCAGCAACGCAUGGAGCAUGAAUGAGUGGCACAAGAGAGGCGCAAGCGACUGUUUACCACAAACACAGGUGCCUGCUAAAGCGAAAGCUGAUGUAUAGGUGCUGACACCUGCCCGGUGCUGGAAGGUUAAGAGGAGGGGUUAGACUUCGGUCGAAGCUCUGAAUUGAAGCCCCAGUAAACGGCGGCCGUAACUAUAACGGUCCUAAGGUAGCGAAAUUCCUUGUCGGGUAAGUUCCGACCCGCACGAAAGGUGUAACGACUUGCGCACUGUCUCAACGAGGGACCCGGUGAAAUUGAAGUACCUGUGAAGAUGCAGGUUACCCGCGACUGGACAGAAAGACCCCAUGGAGCUUUACUGCAACCUAAGAUUGAACUUAGUUAAUGAAUGUACAGGAUAGGUGGGAGACGUAGAACCUAGGACGCCAGUUUUAGGGGAGUCGCUGAUGGGCA
rnacentral:rRNA from 1 species